rnacentral:rRNA from 1 species
GAUGAACGCUAGCGACAGGCCUAACACAUGCAAGUCGAGGGGUAACAGGGUUUUCGGACCGCUGACGACCGGCGCACGGGUGCGUAACGCGUAUGCAACCUACCUUACACUGGGGGAUAGCCCGAAGAAAUUCGGAUUAAUACCCCAUAACAUUACGAAGUUUCAUGAUUUUGUAAUUAAAACUCCGGUGGUGUAAGAUGGGCAUGCGUGACAUUAGAUAGUUGGUGAGGUAACGGCUCACCAAGUCGACGAUGUCUAGGGGUUCUGAGAGGAAGGUCCCCCACACUGGUACUGAGACACGGACCAG